rnacentral:rRNA from 1 species
UACGUAGGCAGCGAGCGUUGUUCGGAGUUACUGGGCGUAAAGCGUGCGCAGGCGGUUUUUUAAGCUUGAUGUGAAAUCCCCGGGCUCAACCUGGGAACUGCAUUGAGGACUGGAAGGCUAGAGUACGGCAGAGGGGGGUGGAAUUCCACGUGUAGCAGUGAAAUGCGUAGAGAUGUGGAGGAACACCGAUGGCGAAGGCAGCCCCCUGGGCCUGUACUGACGCUCAUGCACGAAAGCGUGGGGAGCAAACAGG